rnacentral:lncRNA from 1 species
GUCUAGAUAAGUGGACUGUGCAUAGAAAAUAUGGUUCAACCCUCCACAUUUUGUGCCUGUACCCAGACCAUGUGUUGUUAGUUGUUGAAUUUGUUUGUUUAUUUACUCUGAGUAGUCUGGUAUUAGUGGUAGGUGUGGUUUGUCUAUUUACUCGAAGUAGUCAGGUGUUUGUGGUUGGUGUGGUUUGUCUAUUUACUCGGGGAGUCAGGUGUUUGUGGUUGGUGUGGUUUGUCUAUUUACUCGAAGUAGUCAGGUGUUUGUGGUUGGUGUGGUUUGUCUAUUUACUCGGGGAGUCAGGUGUUUGUGGUUGGUGUGGUUUGUCUAUUUACUCGGAGCAGUCAGGUGUUUGUGGUUAGUGUGGUUUGUCUAUUUACUCAGAGUAGUCAGGUAUUGUGGUUGGUGUGGUUUGUCUAUUUACUCGAAGAGUCAAGUGUUUAUGGUUGGUGUGGUUUGUUUAUUUACUCGGAGUAGUCAGGUAUUUUGUGGUUGGUGUGGUUUGUCUAUUUACUCGAAGUAGUCAGGUGUCUGUGGUUGGUGAGGUUUGUCUAUUUACUCGGAGUAGUCAGGUAUUUGUGGUUGGUGUGGUUUGUCUAUUUACUCAGAGUAGUCAGGUGUUUGUGGUUGGUGUGGUUUGUCUAUUUACUCGGAGUAGUCAGGUGUUUGUGGUUGGUGUGGUUUGUCUAUUUACUCGGGUAGUCAGGUGUUUGUGGUUGGUGUGGUUUGUCUAUUUACUCGAAGUAGUCAGGUGUUUGUGGUUGGUGUGGUUUGUCUAUUUACUCAAAGUAGUCAGGUGUUUGUAGUUGGUGUGGUUUGUCUAUUUACUCAGAGUAGUCAGGUGUUUGUGGUUUGUCUAUUUCCUCAAAGAAGUCAGGUAUUUGUGGCUGGUGUGGUUUGUCUAUUUACUCGAAGUAGUCAGGUGUUUAUGGUUGGUCUGGUUUGUCUAUUUACUCGAAGUAGUCAGGUAUUUGUGGUUGGUGUGGUUUGUCUAUUUACUCCGAGUAGUCAGGUAUUUGUGGUUGGUGUGGUUUGUCUAUUUACUCUGAGCAGUUAGGUGUUUGUGGUUGGUCUGGUUUGUCUAUUUACUCGAAGUAGUCAGGUAUUUGUGGCUGGUGUGGUUUGUUUAUUUACUCGAAGUAGUCAGGUGUUUGUGGUUGGUCUGGUUUGUUGUAAUAUCCUAUAUUUAGGCAUUCCUGAUACCCACUAAUGAAUUAUCAAAAUUAUGACAAUUUCAAGAAAGUCAAACUCAUUUUGAGUGUUGAUUUUAUUAAUGUUGGAAAGUAGUAACUAGUUUACACCGUUGUAUUUUGAUUACAUAUAUGUUUUACAUUCAGUGUUGUGCUUUGAUUACAGGUAUGUUUUACAUUCAGUGUUGUGCUUUGAUUACAUAUAUGUUUUACAUUCAGUGUUGUGCUUUGAUUACAGGUAUGUUUUACAUUCAGUGUUGUGUAAACAUUGUUAUUUUUUAAGUAUCUUAUAGUUGGGUGUUUUAUUCUGUUUAUACAUGUUUUUACUGUCAUGUUUUGAAGUGACUGUUAGUCAUGUGUUUUAUUCUGCUUAUGUUCUUACUGUCAUGUUUUAAAGUGACUUAUAGUUGUGUGUUUUAUUCUGCUGAUGUUCUUACUGUCAUGUUUUAAAGUGACUUAUAGUUGUGUUUUAUUCCGCUGAUGUUCUUACUGUCAUGUUUUAAAGUGAAUUAUAGUUGUGUGUUUUAUUUGGUUAAUGUUCUAUCUAUCAAGUUUUGAAGUGACUAACAGGUGUGUUUUGUUGUUUAAGUUCUUGCUCUUGUGUUUUGAAGUGACUAACAGGUGUGUUUUGUUGUUUAAGUUCUUGCUCUUGUGUUUUGAAGUGACUUAUAGUUGUGUGUUUAUUCUGUUAAAAUUUUUACUGUCAGGUUUUGAAGUAACAUGCAAUUGUAUUUCAUUCUGUUACAAUUUGCUGUAUUUUGAAGUAACAUGCAGUUAUGUGAUUUAUAUUGCUCAAGUAAGAUCUGUUAUGGUCUGAAGUUAUCUAUAGUUGUAUGUUUUUUACUGCACAUAAUUUAUUUGCUCUAGUACUAAUUUGGAUGAAACUACUGUACCUGAUGAGACUAUUUUACUUACAUCUUGAUAAUCAAUGUCUGCUUUAUUCUCUAGGCAUAUUUUCACAUCUUCUUUAUCUCCCUUCCUAGCAGCUGUUAAAAGUUUC